ACAGGUUUGGUCCUGACCUUAAAAUUAACUACAACUAUAAUUAUACAUGCAAGCCUCGACACCCCGGUGAAUAAUACCCCUUACUUCCAACACUAGAAGUAAUGGAGUUGGUAUCAGGCACACAGCCCAAAACACCUUGUUAAGCCACACCUACACAGGACUCAGCAGUAAUAAACAUUGAACAAUAAGUGAAAACUUGAUUCAGUAAUAGUCAUCAAAGUCGGUAAAUCUCGUGCCAGCCACCGCGGUUAUACGAGAGACUUAAGUUAAUAUACGCGGCCCAAAGAACAGUUAAAGAAACACACUUAGGACUGAAAGACUUUAAAGCAGUUAUACGCAAAAAAAAUCUAAAAACCCACAUACACCUAUCUCACUUGAAUCUGUUAAAGCCUGGAAACACACUGGGAUUAGAUACCCCACUAUGCCAGACCAUAAACUUUGAACCCUCCGCCCGAGCACUACGAGCUACAGCUUAAAACUCAAAGGACUUGGCGGUGCCCUAUACCCACCUAGAGGAGCCUGUUCUACAAUUGAUAAUCCCCAAUAAACCUCGCCGCCUCUCGCAAAUACAGCCUAUAUACCACCGUCAUAAGCCCACCCCACAAAGGAAUAAUAGUAGGCCAAACAAUUUAAAAUAAAAAAGUCAGGUCAAGGUGUAGCAUAUGAGUCGGAAAGAAAUGGGCUACAUUUUCUAUAAAGAAAAUCACGGAAUAUUUUGUGAAAUAUAAUAUAAAGGAGGAUUUAGCAGUAAAAAAAGAAUAGAGAGCUCUUUUUAACUUGGCAAUAGGACGAGCACACACCGCCCGUCACCCUCUUUAUAAAUAUAAAAAAAUAAAUAAUAAAUCCUUGAUACUAGAAGAGGAAAGUCGUAACAUGGUAAGUCUACCGGAAGGUGGCCUUGGAA
rnacentral:ncRNA from 1 species